rnacentral:rRNA from 1 species
CUACGGGCCGCUGCAGUGGGGAAUAUUGCACAAUGGGGGAAACCCUGAUGCAGCAACGCCGCGUGGAGGAUGACACAUUUCGGUGCGUAAACUCCUUUUAUAUAAGAAGAUAAUGACGGUAUUAUAUGAAUAAGCACCGGCUAACUCCGUGCCAGCAGCCGCGGUAAUACGGAGGGUGCAAGCGUUAUUCGGAAUCACUGGGCGUAAAGGGUGCGUAGGCGGUUUGGAAAGUCAGGUGUGAAAGCCCGGGGCUCAACUCCGGAACUGCACUUGAAACUUCCAGACUAGAAUACUGAAGGGGCAGAUGGAAUUAGUGGUGUAGGGGUAAAAUCCGUAGAUAUCACUAGGAAUACCGAAAGCGAAAGCGAUCUGCUGGGAAGUUAUUGACGCUGAGGCACGAAAGCGUGGGGAGCAAACAGGAUUAGAUACCCUAGUAGUC